rnacentral:rRNA from 1 species
AUUGAACGCUGGCGGAAUGCUUUACACAUGCAAGUCGAACGGCAGCACGGGGGCAACCCUGGUGGCGAGUGGCGAACGGGUGAGUAAUAUAUCGGAACGUGCCCAGUCGUGGGGGAUAACGUAGCGAAAGUUACGCUAAUACCGCAUACGAUCUACGGAUGAAAGCGGGGGAUCGCAAGACCUCGCGCGAUUGGAGCGGCCGAUAUCAGAUUAGGUAGUUGGUGGGGUAAAGGCUCACCAAGCCAACGAUCUGUAGCUGGUCUGAGAGGACGACCAGCCACACUGGGACUGAGACACGGCCCAGGCUCCUACGGGAGGCAGCAGUGGGGAAUUUUGGACAAUGGGCGCAAGCCUGAUCCAGCCAUUCCGCGUGCAGGACGAAGGCCUUCGGGUGUAAACUGCUUUUGUACGGAACGAAAAAGCCUUGGCUAAUACCCAGGGUCCAUGACGGUACCGUAAGAAUAAGCACCGGCUAACUACGUGCCAGCAGCCGCCGUAA